rnacentral:lncRNA from 1 species
GAUGCUAUUAUUGAAUAAUGUUGAUAAACACAGCUUUUGUAACUCAAUUCAACAAGUUCAGUAGAUAAAAAUGGUUCAAAGAUUACAUAUAACAUAGGCUUCUCCAUCAAUACCAAAAAUAAAAAACAUUAAAACCCCUAAACAUAAAAACAUAAAAAAACACAAAACAAACAACAUUCAACAAAACGUAUCAUCUUUUCAAGUGUCUGUCGUCCACCUUUUGGCAAGUGGCAAAAGAAUCAUCACAUUCUUCUGAAACCGUUACAAAUCAAGCUUUAGGCUUGAGAACCUUAACAGUCUCCCAGGUGAAGUCAGGAUCCUCACGACCAAAAUGUCCAUAAGCAGCAGUCUUCUGGUACCUAAAGUUUCCACCUCUCUUCAAAUCAAGGUUGAUAGCCAUCAUCCCUGGCCUGAAGUCAAAGUUCUCCUUGAUCAAAACAAGAAUAUCCUUAUCCGGAAUAGUCCCAGUCUUGUAAGUGUCCACAAACACUGAAAGAGGCUCAGCCACACCAAUAGCAUAAGACACCUGCACAAUGCACCUACGUGCAAGUCCUGAUGCCACAAUACUCUUAGCUGCUUGCCUAACAAUAUAAGCACCACUUCUGUCCACCUUAGUUGGAUCUUUCCCUGAGAAAGCACCACCUCCAUGAGCUCCCCAUCCUCCGUAUGUAUCAAUAAUAAUCUUCCUCCCGGUCAAACCCGCAUCUCCAUGGGGUCCACCAAUCACAAACCUCCCAGAUGGGUUCAAGUGAAAGAUGGUGUUGUCAUCAAGAUACUGAGCUGGGAUCACAGGCUUAAUCACAUGCUCCUUAAGAUCAGCAGCAAUCUGGUCGUUGGUAACAGUCUCAUCAUGUUGAGUUGAGAUCAACACAGUGUGGACCCUGGUUGGGACCAUGGCACCGUUGUCGUUAUGGUACUCAACGGUGACCUGGGUCUUGCCAUCGGGUCUGAGCCAUGGGCAGGUGUUGUUCUUUCUGACCUCAGUCAGCUUAGCACCAAGCUUGGUUGCAAGGACAUGGGUGAGUGGCAUGAGCUCUGGGGUUUCAUCGGUGGCAUACCCGAACAUGUGACCUUGGUCACCAGCACCAAUGUCUUCUGGCUUCUUGGUGAGAUGACCGUGGAC